rnacentral:rRNA from 1 species
CACGUAGGGGGCAAGCGUUGUCCGGAUUCAUUGGGCGUAAAGAGCGUGUAGGCGGCCAUACAGGUCAGCUGUGAAAACUCGAGGCUCAACCUCGAGACGUCGGUUGAAACCGUAUGGCUAGAGUCCGGAAGAGGAGAGUGGAAUUCCCGGUGUAGCGGUGAAAUGCGCAGAUAUCGGGAAGAACACCCGUGGCGAAGGCGGCUCUCUGGGACGGUACUGACGCUGAGACGCGAAAGCGUGGGGAGCGAACAGG